rnacentral:pre_miRNA from 1 species
UGGCAGUGUGGUUAGCUGGUUGUGUAGAACUUUGGGGGGCUUCCGUGGCGUUCGCGCGCACACGGGGGCUCAGAUUCACAACCACUAUCCGCCCUGCCGCC